GAGCGGCGGACUGGUGAGUAACGCGUGGGUGAUCUGCCCUUUGGUUGGGGAUAGCCAUUAGAAAUAGUGGGUAAUACCGAAUACGACCGUCAGGCUACGGCCUGACGAUGAAAGGCGCUACGGCGCCGCCGGAGGAUGAGCCCGCGUCAGAUUAGCUAGUUGGUGGGGUAAGAGCCUACCAAGGCGAUGAUCUGUAGCCGGCCUGAGAGGGUGUACGGCCACACUGGGACUGAGAUACGGCCCAGACUCC
rnacentral:rRNA from 1 species